UUAGAGAAAAUAUAUCCCAGCAUCUACAUUGGAAACUAUCUUACACAAGACUGGAAAAAAACAUUGGGAAACUUAAAAAGUACAGCCCCCAAGAAAAAAAAAAGGGGGGGGGGGACCACACAACAAAAAGGCUGGAGGCCUGUUUCCUAGAAACAAACAUCUGACAUGGCAUCUAAAUUACAAAAUUAAUGCUGUCUGGGGGGAGGAAAAAAAAAAAAAAAAAGCAGCUGUAACUGUAUGUUUCAGAAGCAGAAACAUUCUCAGAGCCUUAUAAACUUUAAUUCUUAUGAACUUUCAUUGUGAAGAAAGGACCUCUAUUUUUAUGACAAAAGCACCUAAUUGAUCAUAUCCAGCUGUAAAACUUACUCAACUAUUUGAACACCUUCCAUAUGUGGUUUUUGCCAUGUUGAUCUUAAUUUUUUUUUUUUCCCCAGCUUCCCAGCUGGCUAUUUUAUACACAACUGUGGGCACUAUCAAAAGUGAUUUUCCAGAGAAAAACUGGUCUGACAUCAGUCUGUGUCCCCAUGAGCUGCUACACUGCCCUGAGCCUGCAUUCUUCUUUAUGAGCAUUGCCAAAGCCCUUGCAUGAAGCACUGCAAACCCCUUUUUAGCUGAGCUGUCAAUAUGUAUCAUGGGAGAUUGAGUCUGGCAAAAGUCACUGAUGCCUGAAGCACAUGCAUUAAAACGGCCAAGAGGCACCCCAAUAACUGAAGAGACAGAGCAGAAACAUUGCAUUUGAAAUUUCAGAGUUCUUUCUGUCUAAAUAAAGUGUUGUUAUUCUUUUCAA